UACUGCCUGCCCUGUGGAACCCUAAACGGCCGCGGCAUUAAAACCGUGCAAAGGUAGCACAAUCACUUGUCCUUUAAAUGAGGACGCGUAUGAAAGGCAACAUGAGAGAAGACCUGUCUCCUAAGGACUGCCAAUGAAAUUGAACUACCAGUUCAAAAGCUGGUAUUAAUAAGCAAGACAAAAAGACCCUGUGGAACUUUAAUUAACUGUUUUACAUACAAAACCAGUAAUUUCAGUUGGGACAACUCUAGAAAAAAUAAACUUCCUGAUCACCAAGACUAACUAGUCAAAAUCUAUAUGACCCAGUAAUACUGAUUAAUGAAACAAGCUACCCCAGGGAUAACAGCGCCACCUUCUCAAAAAGUCCAUAUUAACAAGAAGACCUACGACCUCGAUGUUGGAUCAGGGUACCCAGACGGUGCAGCAGCUGUCAAUGGUUCGUUUGUUCAACGAUUAAUACCCU
rnacentral:rRNA from 1 species